rnacentral:RNase_P_RNA from 1 species
GAGGAAAGUCCGGGCUCUAUGUAGAGACAUAUGGCUGUAUGAAAAGCAGUGUAGGUAACUACGAGGAUAGUGCCACAGAAAUAAACCGCCUAGCUACGUGUAUUUAGGCAAGGGUGCAAUGGUGCGGUAAGAGCGUACCAGAAAUAUUAUUAAGAUAUUUGCUAGGUAAACCCCGUAUAAGAGCAAAGUUACUAGUAUACUUAUAAUUUUAUUUCUAUAAAAAAAUUAUAUAUUAUCAGAAGUUAAAUCUAGUUUAUUGAUACUGCAUAAAGUAAUUUUUUACCUUACUUAAGAUUAAUAAUUACCCUUUUUGUGUUUUGAUAUAUAAAUGCAAAUAAGAACAAAACCCGGCUUAU